rnacentral:ribozyme from 12 species
GCAUGAAUGUAUCAAAGAAGAAGAAAAAAAAAGAAGACAACAAAUGUUAUAGAUGAUUUCUUGUUGUGUAUGUUGCUAUUAUUUCUUGUUGUUGUUGUUCCUUGAUGUUGACUCAUUGGU